rnacentral:rRNA from 1 species
AGUGAACGCUGGCGGUAGGCCUAACACAUGCAAGUCGAACGGCAGCACAGUAAGAGCUUGCUCUUACGGGUGGCGAGUGGCGGACGGGUGAGGAAUACAUCGGAAUCUACUUUUUCGUGGGGGAUAACGUAGGGAAACUUACGCUAAUACCGCAUACGACCUACGGGCGAAAGCAGGGGAUCUUCGGACCUUGCGCGAGUGAAUGAGCCGAUGUCGGAUUAGCUAGUUGGCGGGGUAAAGGCCCACCAAGGCGAAGAUCCGUAGCUGGUCUGAGAGGAUGAUCAGCCACACUGGAACUGAGACACGGUCCAGACUCCUACGGGAGGCAGCAGUGGAGAAUAUUGGACAAUGGGCGCAAGCCUGAUCCAGCCAUACCGCGUGGGUGAAGAAGGCCUUCGGGUUGGAGAGCCCUUUUGUUGGGAAAGAAAAGCAGCAGGUUAAUACCCCGCUGUUCUGACGGUACCCAAAGAAUAAGCACCGGCUAACUUCGUG